AGUCCCAUAGAUAUCAAACCCAUUUGAGCGAGAGUAGUACUAGGAUGGGUGACCUCCUGGGAAGUCCUCGUGAAAGGGUUUC
rfam:Triticum aestivum genome assembly, contig: Triticum_aestivum_CS42_TGACv1_scaffold_526903_6DL